AACCGGAAAAAAUAAAAAUAAUACUCCUAUGGACCUAUUAAACCCCAAGAAAAAAUAAAUUAGAACGACAAACCAAAAAUCCUAAAAGCAGAGAAUAAUCCUGAUUGAGGAAUGAGUCGUCUCCCGCACCCCAGCCCUGAACGAAUGGCUUCCUUUGUUUCUCUCAACUGUUCCUUCCCACUCCAACCACCGCCAUCUGCUUCUUCUUCUUCUUCUUCUUCUUCAUUAUCUUCACCACAAUCUCAGCCACGUAAACUUAUCGACAUCUUAUCUUCCACCUGCCACCAAACAACAACAACAGCAACAAGAACAACUCCCGCUUCAACUCCACCACCACAUAAUAACUACGGCGGCUGCAGCAACUUAAUAAAGCCCAUUGUCGUAAAUGGGGAGCCCCCCACUUUUGUCUCUGCCCCUGGUCGCCGAAUUGUUGCUGUUGGUGAUCUACAUGGGGAUCUCGACAAAACAAGAUCCGCACUUGAGAUUGCUGGUGUACUCAGUUCUGAUGGUCAAGACUUGUGGAUUGGUGGAGAAACAGUAUUAGUUCAGCUUGGAGAUAUACUUGAUCGGGGUGAAGAUGAAAUUGCUAUUCUUUCUCUGUUGAGGUCAUUGGACAUCCAGGCAAAAGCAGACGGUGGAGCAGUUUUCCAGGUCAAUGGUAAUCAUGAAACCAUGAAUGUCGACGGUGAUUUCAGAUAUGUUGAUUCUGGGGCAUUUGAUGAGUGCACAGACUUUUUGGAGCACUUGGAAGAAUGUGAAUAUAACUGGGAAGAAGCUUUUGCUAGUUGGGUUGAUGUAUCAGAAAGGCAGAGAGACGAGAGGAAGAGGUCUCAAAGUUACUGGGGUCCAUGGAAUUUGGUAAAGAGACAGAAGGGUGUGAUUGCAAGGUCAGCCCUGCUAAGACCAGGGGGUCCAUUGGCAUCUGAGUUGGCACGACAUGCUGUUAUUCUGAAGAUUGAUGAUUGGGUCUUCUGUCAUGGUGGCCUCCUUCCUCACCAUGUAUCUUACGGCAUAGAGAGGAUAAAUAAAGAAGUAUCUCACUGGAUGAGAGGUCUUGGUAACACAGACAGCUACUUAGAGACCCCUUUCAUAGCAACAAGAGGCUAUGAUAGCGUUGUCUGGAACCGUCUAUACUCCAGAGAUAUUUCGGAUCUAUAUGACUAUCAGAUAAGUCAGAUUGAAUCAAUACUUGAAGAGACGCUGCAAGCUGUAGGUGGUCGGCGAAUGGUGGUUGGACACACUCCUCAACCAAUGGGAGCAAACUGCAAAUUCAACUGCAGCAUAUGGCGAAUUGAUGUUGGCAUGUCCAGUGGGGUUCUUGAUUCAAGACCUGAGGUCCUAGAAAUAAGAGGCAACAAAGCUAGGGUAAUACGGAGCAAAAGAGAUAGGUUCAGUGAGCUUCAGGUUGUUGAUCAUGUAUAGAGAUCAGAGGACGGGCCUGAGGUCUGAGGAAUGGAUUUGUGUUGCACAUUCAUUCUAGCUAGUAUAACUGUAUGCAAGGCUCAAAUUUCCCCUCUUCCCUCCGACACUCUGUCCAGUCGUGAUCAGAAUGAAUCCAUCAGGUUCUCCAGAAAGUGGCAAGAAGGGUUUUCCCAAAUCAACAAAGCAAGCACAAAAUAAUCAGAAUUCUGAUCUUCGAAAUUGCCAAGGCUAGUGUUACUGGUGGUUAUGCUGCGAACAAAGUCAAAUAUCAAAUGACUUGAGAAUUCAACUGAACCAAGGCAUGGUUAGAACAGAUACACAUUUGCUCAUUAUCCUCAUUUGAUUGGAUGAUUUCUGAGAAGCUAAAGCUCAAUUUGGAUUCUGAAUUUGAUCAUUUAAAAUUUAACGUCAAUGAAACUAGGUCAAGCUCAUGAUAGCUGUGUGACCUUGUUA